CUUCCUGGUUACUGCGAUCAUGUCCAUGGCCUCCAGGGUCGUUCUCGGCGUGUCCGUGGGCCUCACCGUGGCCACCGUGGUCGGCGUGCACGUCAGGCAGAACUGGGACAGAGCGAGACUCCGUGAAGGAGUCGUACGAGACUUGGAGAGGAUGGAGAGGAAGAAGGCAAACCUGAGACUCCUCGAGCAGCAGAUCAGCUUGACCAAGGAGCUGGAGGCGGAACGGGAGCGCAGGGCAGCCGAAUCGCAGGGCCCCUGAGCGGGGAUCGGAUCCCCUCUCGCCGCGAGUCAUCACAUGUAACGACCCUAACGUCAGGGUGUUGCUGCUGUGAGUCUUCAGAUUGAAGAAGACAGCCCUAACCGCUACUACGGUACCCGCGAAUCCCUGCUGUAAAGUAGUUCAAGUACCACCGGAGGGGUCUUCUCAUUGACAGAACACCAGCAGGGUAACGGAGAGUAACUUUUACCUCUUGGGAUGUGACAAAGAGCUCACAAGGACAGUGAAGCAGCCAGGCCACCUGGUGAGGCUAUGAAGCGGCUCUGAUCUCUGCUGCUGACGUUUCUGGAGAAGCUGACCUUGAAAGCAAGCCCCUGUAGGACACCUGCACAGCCGCAACAAUGACUUUCUCUGCAGUGAGCCUUGCGAAAGCUGAUCUAAUUCAACUUCCAAUGAAUGUGCUCUACUCUGUGUAGACAUCUCACAUUUUAUAUUUUCUCAUUGAUUUAAUAGUGUGAUUCUUACUGAAAUACAUCAGAUUCUAAGGCUUUUGUGCACAUCAGCUGGAGGGGGGUCCUCUCCUCAAAAGGAUUUGUUGUUAAAUGAGUACCAAAUUACUGUGUAAGCACAUGUGGUUUGUUUUUCUUCGAAGGAUGGAAACUGUGACACAUAAAGGGGUUCUGAUGAAAACAUGGGCCAGUUAAUGCAAUUAAUAGCUGUAUGUGUACAUGAAUUAAUGUAAAUGUUUUGACUGCUGCAACACUCACAUGUAUAAAAUGUAUGCAG